GUGCUCCACUAUGAAAGGAAGGGGCCACGGGCUCUUCUCAUCAGAGGGGGCGGUUUGGCUUAUGACUCUAGCAUUGCGACCUCAUUUCCUUGGCGACAGGUCCAAACAGAACUCGGAACCCUGGAGUCACUGGGCACCACAGUCCAGCGACGGCUGCCUAACAGUCACUUGGCUGGAGAGAGUCAGCAGCGAUCACGCUGUGCUGCUUUCCCAGGCCUCGAGGCCGCAGCAAUAGGACCCUGCGCAGGGAAAGCACUUGGGCACAAGUGAGAGGAUGGAUGGCUAAGUCCCCGUGCUUCAGGCCACUCACCAAGAGCUACCUGGCCUUCAGGGGCAGCACAGGGCGGAUCUCACCAGACCCAGAGACCUGGGGACUUGAGAUGAGCGGGAGCCCAGGGCAGAUCUCCUGGACACUGGACCCCAGACACUUGGGGCCACCGAGUCCAGGACAGGUCCAGUUAGGCCCGGCCACCACUAUUGGGGCCCAACAGGAGGAGAGCCGGGCAGAGGACUUCAUGGUGAGGACGGCACUGGCAGGCAUGCAGCGCCCCCUGAGGGAGCCCCCGGAAUGGGACUUCCUGGACAGCCGCCCCAUCCACAUGGACUCCCUCCUGGACCCCUCUGGGGCCUGCAUUCCCGCCCUGCAGGAGGGGAUGGUGCGAAGGUCCUCCUUCUUUGUCCUCUACUUCUUGGUGGAGUUGCACUCCCAGGAGAAUCCACCAGCUGAACUCCUGGCCCAGCUGGAGCAAGCUGAGCCCACUGAGGCACAGCCCACGGGACCAGCUCCAACCCCAGCUGAAGUCCCACGUGCGGAGCCCGAGCCAGCUCCACCUGCAGCUUCCUGCCCAGCGCUGGGACCACAGCCAGAGUCCAUGGCAGCCCCUUCACCUGCUGCAGUGCUGGGGGAGCCGGUGGUUGCACGGUGGUCGGUGUCACCUCCUGAGCUCUGCCUGGGGCCAGCUCCUGGCCCCCUCCCACUGUUCCCCUUACUUACGCUGGCUCUUGUUUUGGUAUUUACACUUGCCCUUAUUUCUUGGAUUUAUAUAAAUAAUAGAACUAGCUUUUAAUAAAACUUAAACUUUUAGUGUUUAAAAGGGUCAGCGUGGUG
ensembl:lncRNA